UAUUGUGAUUUGUUGGAGUGACAAGUUUUCGAACGAACAUCUGAGUCACGGGUGAUGACCGGCGCUUUUUGGAGUGUCCUUCCUUUUUGCUUGGUUGGCGGUGAUCGCGAACGGAAGUUCUGUUGUACGUGGUGUGAUAGUGUCCCGAAUUCCAAGAGGUCUGAACCGUGCCGUUCCCUGAUAAACGGGCAGGGCACGCAUCGUCAUCCUCUACGUAAAAAGGGAAUUUUGGAAUAACUCCGAAAGCCCCGUGAUUUUGCGGACUCACUGCCACGUGCUGAGUUCUGUUACUGAAGAUUGUGUGUGGUUGAGCAGUGCUCGGUGGCGAGCCUCUGCGCUGUCUGCUGUUGCUGUUGAUGUUGCUGAUGUUGCCUCCAUAGCAGGAGGUGUUUGGCACCGGCUGUCCCGCAGUGCCAGACGCUUGCUGCGCCCGACGGGUGCGGAGGGGGUUGAGCCGAGUGGUGGCGACUAGCGCGCUAGUAAUCUUAAGUAUUUUUAAUCAGUACCAACCAAACGGCCCAACGACCCAUCCCUUAAUUUUUCUUUUUAAAUAUUUGUGUCUAACCCACAAUUAAAUUGUUGUCAAUUUAAAUA